UUUAUUAUAUUUCAUUUUAUUUUUUAUUUUAUACAUUUUAUUUUGUGAUGUGAUGUGAGCGCAGGUGCAACCCAACAGGCCCCAAACGUUCCUGGCAGCAAGUAAAAAUGAAAUAUAAAAAUAUAGUCCAAACAGGUAAGGUGUAAUUGUAUUAUGAGCCAUAGUGCUUGGUCUGUUUGUCCUGUGUAAAUCAAUUGCAGUUAGAGGCUACAUUAAUUUUCUUUCUGUAAGCACUUAUUGAAAUUAUCUGAGCACAUUACAAGUACAUAUUUGCUUACUCUGUAUGCUCAAAUGUGACCCGUUAUAGCCAACAGAAAAAAAGAGGAGGCCCGAAAAACAGGUGGGGGUCCUCCACCACCACCACUCACAGAGGCUGAGCAGUUGGCCCUCAGCCAAAACAGUGGGCGUCCUGUGGCUGAAGGCAUCUCUGCGGGGACAUCCUCUGAGUCAAUAACCCCGCAAGACACAAGUGCCUACAUAAGAGUUGAUGGUGAUGGUGUACUGCAUCUGGUGCAGCCUCCUGUUGAGCCAGACCAACAUGCAGUUGAAAAUAAUGAAGAAACAUUGACAGCUGUUACAGAGGAGGAAGCAACAGAGACACUUUAUGAGAGUGAUGAUGGAAAUGCAGAGGAAGAGGGUCCAGCCACUUCUCCAACAAACCUUUCCUCAGUAAGAUGUUCAGCACUGAUUUACAACCAACCUAAGUAGGCAUGUACUAUGAAUGUCAAUGCUAUUUUCUGUGUUUCAAUAGCUCCCUGUAAAGCAGCUGUACAAGACCUAUUUGAUCAAGAAAAUAAAAAAAAUGCGACUUGGAAAUGGAACACUUCAAGCAGCAGAUCCAAAAGACCAAGAUUGAGAUUUUACUGCUGGAACAUCAGUUAAGGGUGGGUGAAGUGGUCAGAGAUGGACGAAUUAUUUCAGUGUUUGAACAACAUAAUAAUAUACUUAUUAAUACUUUGUGUACAGGAAAUACAGGCGACCAAUAAAGCCAGUUGAACAAAAAA